rnacentral:lncRNA from 1 species
GGCCUUUCCAGUUUGAUUAAGUCUGUAAUUAAUAAUGACCAGGUGAGGCAGGGAAGUUAUUUUUCUAUAGGUUUUUUUCUGUCCCAUGAAUGCUGAGAAAGAAUGCAAGGAAGGCACUUAAUUGUGAGAACACUUUCCUGUUGGUAUAAUUCCUAAAAUCUGGCCAUGUUUUAAACUCCUGUGAGGAGCAAAAUUUCAUUAUUUCUCCUCUAGAGUAUUUUUGCCUUGGUCCUGCUCAGCCACAGGAGGGAAAAUGACAAUGCUAAUGCUGUGCCCUGUUUUGUUUUUUCUGAUUUCUUUUUUUUUUUUUUUUACUUCUUUUUGAAGCAAACAACCCAGGGCAAAACAUGGUUGUGAAGGUUUGCAGCUACACUUGGAGCUGGAGAAAGCCAGUGCAGUAGUGCUGUGAGCUCAGCCAUGUGGAUUCAGCAUUGAGGGGAGAAGGGAUGCACAUUCAAGAAUGCCUACAGAUACAGUUCUGUCUACACCUCACCACAGGUACUUUUACAAAGCUUCUCUUUGUCCCUGUGUGCCCUUUGUCUUUUGACUGUUUGCCUGAAUCUGUAUCUUCUUUCUUGACCUGUUUAUUUGGGAGUUCUCUGAGGCAAGAGCCUCAUGCAGCACCUAGAUAAUGCUCACAGUAAAGCUCAUUCUCAGUACAUCCAACAGCACAUGGUUUUUCCUAGGAAGAGUGAGUCCUUUCCUUAAGAGAGGAGUUAGAUUGGUCUUUUAUGAGAUUAGUCUUUUAUCUUAGUAAUGAACUGGGUAUGUUAUUAGAGCUCUGGCAUCAAACCAGGGCUCCCUUUACAUGAGUUUUCACCUAGAAAGGGGUGUCAAGCUUAUGGUUAGGACAGGCCUGCAGGCUCUCCCCUUUGCCUCACACCUGUCCACACCUCUUUGUCCAAAAACCUCGAGGCUGUUGGACCAUAUGCAAAAUGCAGUUUUUGUGGGCUUGUUCUCCUGAAUUCUGUGGUGUUAUGAUUGGCUGUGUUGUGGAGAUUGAGAGUAGAAUUAUUCUGGUGCUGAUUCCUGACCCACUGAGACCCAGUGGGGACAUUUUCAUUUGAUUUACAUGAUCCACUGACAAGUAUUAUGGUGGUAUGUUGUUGCUUUCCAGGAAACAGGAUGAAGGAGAAGAAAAAGACUGGAAGAAGUGGUUGGACUCAAGGGUCAUAAGGGUUUUCUCCAACCUAAAUGGUUCCCUUUAGUGAAACCUUGAAAGGCUUUUUGUGUAUUAGCAAAGAAACUGGGUUCCAAUAAGACCAAGACAACCUUUGCCACUUUUUCAAGAUGUCUUGAAGCACAUAUAAAAUUCAACUUCACAUCAGUUUAAAUAUGCUUUUAUACUACUAGACUCCACUUUAAGUCAAAAGCAACUCUUGGGUGAAGUUGGAUUUAAUGUAAAGAAUAGCAUUAUGUCAUCACAUAGGAAAGUGCUUCUUAACCACCAAAAUAUAUUUAAAAUACUUUUCUGAGUAGAUUUGUUGCUAAUUAUACUAUAUAAAUUUAAGAGUGGAAACUUGGUUUCUCCAUCAUCAUGGCUUGCAUGUCUAAUAUUUUGCACUGAGCUUUGAGUGCAGCUGUAGUGCAGCUCUCCCUGGAAAUCUGUUUUUUAUCUAACCCCAUUUUCUAGUUAAACAUUUCAAAUGAAAUAUACUGAGCAAGAAAAAGAGGACUACUUUGUUUGGAGUAUUCUAUGGGCAGAAGAUUGCCUGAGGACUUCCUUAUUGACUGUACCUUAUCUUGCUGUGUAUCCAGUAACAGAUUGAGUUGGAGUGUAGGUACCUCAACCUCUGUUUAAUUUUCUCUUUCUUUUUUUUUUUUUUUCAUCUCCAGCUACAUGGAUUAGAGCUAUAAAGAUGUUGGUCUAAGUCACAAGAGUUUUGGAGACUGGAAAUACUUGAUUUCAGUAGUUGAAUUUAAAGUUAUCUGAAGGUAAAUAUCUCUUAUCUAGAAGGUCUGUAAAUUGUGUAUUCAUCUGAUUUCCUUUCCUUACUGGUUAUCAUUUUCCUUUGGUGAGUGGUUCAUUUGGCUUCCUAAGCAGAACUAGACAAACUCCUAAAUCACUCCAUGCUCUCAGUGAGCUGUGUCACCUUUCCUUUUUAUUUUCCUUUAUCAUUCUUUUCAUGCUUCCGGAACAAUUGAGCUGAAGUAUUGUGAAAGAUUUCCUAUCAUCUUCUGUGUGCCUGUCUCAAACUUCAUACCUUAAAAUUCGGUGUGUUUGAUAUUCAGCUACCGUCUCUCUAAUAUUGCAUGCAUGGGGAGUUGGGAUUUCUAACAUGACUGCAAACAUUACCUUUCCAAUGAUACCUUGUGUUGGAUUAAAAGGUGCAAACACUGGAAUUGUGAAUACUGGAGUUAUGUGCCCUUACCAGUCUGGGGACCUGUAACCUGCUGCUGGAAGUUCUUAUUCAGGUUUCCCAAACGUAAUACCUUGCUGGAAUUCUCUGAUAAAUGGCUAUUGUGUGCUGCUAAAUAGUUUGUGUAGAGCCCAAAGCUGACUAAAUUUCAAUGAUAGUCCCAGUUUUCAAAACGAAUGUGAGUUAUGGAUACUGUAUGGGCUUUUUUGCAAGUACCGUAUGUGAAUAUUUGUUCUAAUACUAAGUAAUUAUAGCAAUAAAUGUCAUUAAUAUAUUAGUUAAUUCA